rnacentral:rRNA from 1 species
AAUUUUGGACAAUGGGGGCAACCCUGAUCCAGCCAUCCCGCGUGUGCGAUGAAGGCCUUCGGGUUGUAAAGCACUUUUGGCAGGGAAGAAAAGGCGCGGGCUAAUACCCGGCGCCGCUGCCGGUACCUGCCGAAUAAGCACCGCCUAACUCCGAUCCACCAGCCGCGGUACUACGUAGGGUGCAAGCUUUAAUCGGAAUUACUGGGUGUAAUGCGUGCGCAGGCGGCUCGGCAAGAAGGAUGUGAAAUCCCGGGGAUUAACCUCGGAACUGCAUUCUUAACUGCCGGGAUAGAGUAUGUCAGAGGGGGGUAGAAUUCCACGUGUAGCAGUGAAAUGCGUAGAGAUGUGGAGGAAUACCGAUGGCGAAGGCAGCCCCCUGGGAUGAUACUGACGCUCAUGCACGAAAGCGUGGGGAGCAAACA